UGGGGAAUCUUGGACAAUGGGGGCAACCCUGAUCCAGCCAUGCCGCGUGAGUGAUGAAGGCCUUAGGGUCGUAAAGCUCUUUCGCCUGUGAAGAUAAUGACGGUAGCAGGUAAAGAAACCCCGGCUAACUCCGUGCCAGCAGCCGCGGUAAUACGGAGGGGGUUAGCGUUGUUCGGAAUUACUGGGCGUAAAGCGCACGUAGGCGGACCAGAAAGUUGGGGGUGAAAUCCCGGGGGCUCAACCCCCGGAACUGCCUCCAAAACUAUUGGUCUAGAGUUCGAGAGAGGUGAGUGGAAUUCCAAGUGUAGAGGUGAAAUUCGUAGAUAUUUGGAGGAACACCAGUGGCGAAGGCGGCUCACUGGCUCGAUACUGACGCUGAGGUGCGAAAAGUGUGGGGAGCAAAACAGGAUUAGAUACCCCUGGUAGUCCACACCGUAAAACGAUGAAUGCCAGUCGUCGGGUAGCAUGCUAUUCGGUGACACACCUAACGGAUUAAGCAUUCCGCCUGGGGAGUACGGUCGCAAGAUUAAAAA
rnacentral:rRNA from 1 species